GUGGGGAAUAUUGGACAAUGGGCGAAAGCCUGAUCCAGCCAUGCCGCGUGUGUGAAGAAGGUCUUCGGAUUGUAAAGCACUUUAAGUUGGGAGGAAGGGCAGUAAGUUAAUACCUUGCUGUUUUGACGUUACCGACAGAAUAAGCACCGGCUAACUUCGUGCCAGCAGCCGCGGUAAUACGAAGGGUGCAAGCGUUAAUCGGAAUUACUGGGCGUAAAGCGCGCGUAGGUGGUUUUGUACGUUGGAGGUGAAAUCCCCGGGCUCCACCUGGGAACUGCCUCCAAAACUGCAUGACUAGAGUACGGUAGAGGGUAGUGGAAUUUCCUGUGUAGCGGUGAAAUGCGUAGAUAUAGGAAGGAACACCAGUGGCGAAGGCGACUACCUGGACUGAUACUGACACUGAGGUGCGAAAGCGUGGGGAGCAAACAGGAUUAGAAACCCGGGUAGUCC
rnacentral:rRNA from 1 species